AUCAUUCCACCUGACCGUUUAAUCUCCUUUUUUUUUCAACAUCUUGAAUGGGUUCACACGUGGCUGUUAGAUGAGAUGUGAACCGUGAAAUGCAGUUCAAUCUACCUAAGAAACCACAAACCUCCUUUUCUGUUCUCGGUUUAGGCAUUUCUUGUAUUACUUUUUCUCUUUUUUUUGUUUUUGUUUUUUUGUUUUUUUUGUUUAGCAGGAUCCACCUCGAUUCCUCUUUCAUUCACAAUAAGCCUCAGCAACUUACCGGACCGCACUCCGCCAGUGCCCUUACUCGAAUUCAACCUCAGUCUGAAUUGUCUCAACUGAUCCAACAACUUGACCAAGUCUACCGAAUGCCCCUCUUCUGCCUGGGACUUUGCUAUCAUGUCAUCAACAUAGCAUUCAAUUUCAUGAUGAAUCAUAUC
rnacentral:lncRNA from 1 species